UACGUAGGGCGCAAGCGUUGUCCGGAAUUAUUGGGCGUAAAGGGCUCGUAGGCGGUCUGUUACGUCCUCUGUGAAAACCCAGGGCUUAACCCUGGGCUUGCAGUGGAUACGGGUAGACUAGAGGCAGGUAGGGGAGAAUGGAAUUCCCGGUGUAGCGGUGAAAUGCGCAGAUAUCGGGAGGAACACCGGUGGCGAAGGCGGUUCUCUGGGCCUGACCUGACGCUGAGGAGCGAAAGCGUGGGGAGCGAACAGG
rnacentral:rRNA from 1 species